rnacentral:rRNA from 1 species
AUUGAACGCUGGCGGCAGGCCUAACACAUGCAAGUCGAACGCGUGGCGGACGGGUGAGUAAUGUCUGGGAAAGUGCGUUGUGGGGGGGUAUAACUACUGGAAACUGUAGCUUAUACCGCAUACCCUCAUGUGCGCCCAUGUGGUAUUAGCUUGUUGGGGGGGUAACGGCGCACCAAGGCGACGAUCACUAGCUGGUCUGAGAGGAUGACCAGCCACACUGGAACUGAGACACGGUCCAGACUCCUACGGGAGGCAGCAGUGGGGAAUAUUGCACAAUGGGCGCAAGCCUGAUGCAGCCAUGCCGCGUGUAUGAAGAAGGCCUUCGGGUUGUAAAGUACUUUCAGCGGGGAGGCGUUACCCGCAGAAGAAGCACCGGCUAACUCCGUGCCAGCAGCCGCGGUAAUUC